GAGUUGGUUGGGCAGUUGCGCAAAUUAUAUUUGUGAGGAAAGUCCGAGCAUCACACAGCAGGGUAACGGCUAACGGCCGCCGAGGGUGACCUUAGGGAAAGUGCAUAGAAAAUUACCGCCACAUUUUGUGGUAAGGGUGGAAAGGCGAGGUAAGAGCUCACCGGCGUUACAGAGAUGUAACGGCCGAGCAAACCCUACCCGAUGCAACGUCGACAGAAGUUGUCAGCUGGGCAGAUACUUCGAAAGACGGCUUCAGGCACAUAGCAAUAUGUGUCGCAGAUAGAUAAUUGCCUUAAAAGACAGAACUCGGCUUACAGACCGACUCAU
rnacentral:RNase_P_RNA from 1 species